rnacentral:rRNA from 1 species
UGCAGUCGUACGGUAACAGCCAAGCAGCUUGCUUCUUUGCUGACGAGUGGCGGACGGGUGAGUAAUGUCUGGGAAACUGCCUGAUGGAGGGGGAUAACUACUGGAAACGGUAGCUAAUACCGCAUAACGUCGCAAGACCAAAGAGGGGGACCUUCGGGCCUCUUGCCAUCGGAUGUGCCCAGAUGGGAUUAGCUAGUAGGUGGGGUAACGGCUCACCUAGGCGACGAUCCCUAGCUGGUCUGAGAGGAUGACCAGCCACACUGGAACUGAGACACGGUCCAGACUCCUACGGGAGGCAGCAGUGGGGAAUAUUGCACAAUGGGCGCAAGCCUGAUGCAGCCAUGCCGCGUGUAUGAAGAAGGCCUUCGGGUUGUAAAGUACUUUCAGCGGGGAGGAAGGGAGUAAAGUUAAUACCUUUGCUCAUUGACGUUACCCGCAGAAGAAGCACCGGCUAACUCCGUGCCAGCAGCCGCGGUAAUACGGAGGGUGCAAGCGUUAAUCGGAAUUACUGGGCGUAAAGCGCACGCAGGCGGUUUGUUAAGUCAGAUGUGAAAUCCCCGGGCUCAACCUGGGAACUGCAUCUGAUACUGGCAAGCUUGAGUCUCGUAGAGGGGGGUAGAAUUCCAGGUGUAGCGGUGAAAUGCGUAGAGAUCUGGAGGAAUACCGGUGGCGAAGGCGGCCCCCUGGACGAAGACUGACGCUCAGGUGCGAAAGCGUGGGGAGCAAACAGGGAUUAGAUACCCUGGUAGUCCACGCCGUAAACGAUGUCGACUUGGAGGUUGUGCCCUUGAGGCGUGGCUUCCGGAGCUAACGCGUUAAGUCGACCGCCUGGGGAGUACGGCCGCAAGGUUAAAACUCAAAUGAAUUGACGGGGGCCCGCACAAGCGGUGGAGCAUGUGGUUUAAUUCGAUGCAACGCGAAGAACCUUACCUGGUCUUGACAUCCACGGAAGUUUUCAGAGAUGAGAAUGUGCCUUCGGGAACCGUGAGACAGGUGCUGCAUGGCUGUCGUCAGCUCGUGUUGUGAAAUGUUGGGUUAAGUCCCGCAACGAGCGCAACCCUUAUCCUUUGUUGCCAGCGGUCCGGCCGGGAACUCAAAGGAGACUGCCAGUGAUAAACUGGAGGAAGGUGGGGAUGACGUCAAGUCAUCAUGGCCCUUACGACCAGGGCUACACACGUGCUACAAUGGCGCAUACAAAGAGAAGCGACCUCGCGAGAGCAAGCGGACCUCAUAAAGUGCGUCGUAGUCCGGAUUGGAGUCUGCAACUCGACUCCAUGAAGUCGGAAUCGCUAGUAAUCGUGGAUCAGAAUGCCACGGUGAAUACGUUCCCGGGCCUUGUACACACCGCCCGUCACACCAUGGGAGUGGGUUGCAAAAGAAGUAGGUAGC